AGAGUUUGAUUAUGGCUCAGGAUGAACGCUAGCUACAGGCUUAACACACGCAAGUCGAGGGGCAUCAGGGUCUGUGCUUGCACAGAUUGCUGGCGACCGGCGUACGGGUGAGUAACGCGUAUCCAACCUUCCCCUUAGUAGAGGAUAGCCCGGCGAAAGUCGGAUUAAUACUCUAUGUUGUUCAAUGCGGACAUCUAAGUUGAACCAAAGGUUUACCGCUAAGGGAUGGGGAUGCGUCUGAUUAGGUAGUAGGCGGGGUAACGGCCCACCUAGCCGACGAUCAGUAGGGGUUCUGAGAGGAAGGUCCCCCACAUUGGAACUGAGACACGGUCCAAACUCCUACGGGAGGCAGCAGUGAGGAAUAUUGGUCAAUGGACGAGAGUCUGAACCAGCCAAGUAGCGUGCAAGGAUGACGGCCCUAUGGGUUGUAAACUGCUUUUAUGCGGGGAUAAAGUGCACCACGUGUGGUGUUUUGUAGGUACCGCAUGAAUAAGGACCGGCUAAUUCCGUGCCAGCAGCAGC
rnacentral:rRNA from 1 species